rnacentral:lncRNA from 1 species
GGGCUGAGAAGCGGGAAGAGAGGGCUUCCAGGGUCAGGGCCUAGUUGGUUCAGACUUCAGGACUGUGGGCUCCUGCCGAUGGCGCCUGCUGCACAGUGACCUCGGGCAGUCCGCCCCCCCCCCAUCCCCCUUAGCUAGGGGGGCCUGCCCAGGUCGUGGUGCUCCCCUGGCCUCGGGCUCAGCCUGCAUGAUGCACCUGUGGCCAACAGGCCCCUUCUUGGCUUUCCCAGGGAUCGAGCUGCAGGUCAGAGGCCCUUCCCCUGCCCUGUCUCUGCCUCCCACCCCGAGAGCUGACAGCCUCUGGGCUUCUCAGAACAUGUCUGGAGUCAGCUGGGGGCGUCUCCUCCGACAUCCACGCGUACCCUAAGGCCUUCACCGCCUGGUCCGCCACCUCCCCACGAGGGCCCGCACUGACUCCGUGACCCUGGGCUGCAUGGUGAGUCAGUGCCUGGAGCCAAACCCAGUUCCCAGAGAGAGGCCUGCUGGGUGCCACCCACCCUUGUCUUCUGAUGCUCUGCGUGGACCCCCAGAGUGGAGGCCCCAGGACACCCACAGAACUUGACUGAAGGGGCUGAGCGUAGGAACCUGAGGCAGGGACCGGCGCUGGCCUAGGUAGCAAGGAGGUCCCCCGGCGAGGGAGGGCAAGAACAGGGGCGGGUGGCCUGGUGGGGCCACCCUCUGGCUGAGGCCCCGUCUAGGGUGUGCAGGGAGCUCCUGGCUGAGGCCACAGGGAGCCAGCCUGGCACACAGCCUGGGUCGCUGUGUGCUGGCGAACCUGGGGCCUGGCUGCCGAGCGGAGGCUGGGUGGAAGAUUGGACUGAGAGUGCUGUAGGGCACAGGGGGCUGGGGGCCAGCUCCACUGGGGCUGAAGGGGCUAGGAGGACACCGGGAUUCCAGCCAGAGCCUCCAAGGCAGCCUCAGAUGGAGCGUGUGUGGAGCCCGUGGGACGGCCUUAGGAGGUGUCCAGGGCGCGCAUUCGUGCCGGUCUCACACUCAGGAUGCAGCUGCAGGGUCCCCAGGGCACGUGGGAGUCGCGGGCAUGAGUUCCUUUGGGAAGGGUGCCUGGGAUGAGGGCUGGCGCUGGGCGUUGGGGGCGCCUGCUGCUAGGCCAUUGUCUGGUGGACCUGUCCCUCUCCUGCGCUGUCCUCCACUGGGAUGGGUUCUUGCUGUAAGACCUGGAGUCCUGGUCAAGCCUUCCUGCCUCUGCCUCCGUUUCCCUCCGUGAACAGGAGGCCUGUACACUGAGGGGGGUCUCAGUGUUGAGGGCUCAGCCUCGCCCCCAGCUGCAGCCAUGGCUCACUAAGUCUCUAUCUAUGGUCUGUGUUCUGAAAGGCAGAAUGAUGGUCUCCAAAAGAGAUCCGUGUCCUAAUCCUAAGAGACUGUCUCCUUAGAUAGCACAGCAGGAUGGAAGCUGCAGAUGGAAUCAGGUUCCCGGUCACUGACCUGAGGAAGGGGAGGUUAUCUGGAUGGGCCCAGUGUUGUCAGGAGAGCCAAGGGCACUGAGCAGGGAGGCAGCGGAGGAAGACAGCGCGGCGUGGGAAGGGCCUGAGUCAGCAGUGCAGGCAGCUCCUAGAAGCUGGGAAAGGAAGGCACCCAGAAAGAACUGGCCCUGCAGACUAGCCCGGUGAGGUCCGUUUGAGGUAAGUUCAUUUUGCCUCCAGCCACGAAGUUCAUGGCAACUGCAGCAACAGGAGAUGAAGGCAGAUUUUGGUUCUAGGCAUGAGGCACUGCUGUAGCAAAUACCUAGAAAGGUGGAAGUGGCUUUGGAAUUGGGCUGAAAGAAUUUUGAGGGUGAUAGAAAAAGCCCGUGAUGUUGUUAAACAGGUGGUAGAAGGAUGGAGGCGAGCGGGGCUCGAGGGGCUCGGAGGAACCAGCCUGGGCUCUGAGAAGAGUCAGAGCCCCUCUGACCCGCCCGUCCUCGGACAUGUGGGGUUAAAGGUGCAGGUGGGAGCUCAGAGGGAAAGGAAAGAACGGGAGCCAGGGAGAGCCCCGUCCAUGGGGGCAGAGGUGCAGCUGCACUCUGUCCCGUUGCCACGUGCGGGCAGCACUCGAGGGUGGUCAGCCUGGGCCCCUUGCGCUGCUCAGGUUGGCCACUAAGUGAGAGAAGGACAUUAGCAGAGGGGUGAGCACCCUGCCAUCGGGAAUUCUCAGCUGAAGAUGCUGAUGUCAGGAGAUUCACUGUCAGGAAUGUGUGCUCAGAGUAACGGCCACACCAAGAGCUCCUGGAGGAGGGCGAGCCUGUGGCUGGUGGAUGCCCCGGGUCACCCAAGCAGAUGCUCAAAGCAGGGACCGCUGUGGGAGGUCUGUGGACGAGCCUUGGGUCUGUGGACGAGCCUUGGGUCUUACGGAUCCGGUGAAGCCCUGUGGGAACCACGAGAGGCUCUUAAACCAUCAGAAACUCAGCUGGCUUGGACUGAGGCAGAGGGGAUGUGAUGAAAGGCUCUUGAGCCCCAAAAAUCAGCAGGCAGGAAGCAGACUAAACUGUUCAGCUGCAAACACUUGCUACGUUUCAUAAAUAGAGAGCAUGGCCCUGAGGGUGGAGGUGUCAGCACAGAGGCAGAGUUGGGACCCACAGAAGGAGUUCCCAGGCCUUGCUGGGACGGAGGAAGUGUACCCAGCUGGAUUUUGGAUUUCUUGGGAGCAGCGACACAAGCACCUUGCAGCUUUCUCUGUGUGUCACGUGUGUGUGUGUGUGUAUGCACAUAUAAAUGACUGGGUUUCACCGUCACCCAAACUGGAGUGCUGGGUAAUCCUAGCUCACUGCAGCCUCAGACUUCCGGGCUCAAGGGGUCCUCCCCCUUCAGACUCCUGAGUAGCCAGCACCACAGGUGCGAGCCACCACGCCCGGCUGAUUUUGAAAUAUUUUGUAGAGUUGAAGUUUCACUACCCAGGCUGGUCUUGAACCCCUGGACUCAGGUGAUCCUUUCUGUCUCAGCCUCCCAAAGUGCUGGACCGUCACACCCAGCCAAACUUUCCUUGAAAACAGGAGUGUCUGUGACUGGCAUUCCGCGUCUGUUCUCUGGUCGUAUUUUGGGAGCAGGUAACUGGUUUUCUAGCUUUCGGGGUCCACAGAUGGAGAGGAAACUGCCCCAGGGUGGAAUGCCCAGAGUGUCACCCAUACCUGAUCGGGGUAGCUUAGAGGGUGCGACUUGCGACUUGUGAGCUGAUGAGCUGUACGUGAGGUUUGGGACUGGACUGGGUGCUGUGUUUGGUGGAGACUGUUGGGGCCGUGAGGGGAGGGAUGCAUUUGCACGUGGGAUGGGUGUGAAGCAGCGGGAGUGGGAGGGUACUGCGUUCGGCCUGAGACAUCCCUUACCACUGGUGAUGUCCACAUCUAGUCCCAUGGAAGUGAACGUGCCACCCAGCAGCAAAGGGGAAUGAAAGCAGCGAUGGGAUUAAGGCAAUCAGCUGACCUUGAGAGGCAGAGAUGGUCUGGGCCCAGUGAGAGCACGAGGCCUUCAUCGUGGAAGCUGGACGCAGGUUGGGAUGCGCAGGACACAGCUGUGAGGAGGCUCCACCCACGCUCCUGGCUGCGAAGGUGGAGACCCCAGGCCACGGGAUGCAGGCGGCCACAGGUCCUCCCCUGGAGCCUCCAGGAGGAGCACACCUUGAUUCUAGACCAGGGCACCCCUUGAGUGAGACCUGCCCAGUCCUUGACUCUGGGACUGUGAGGUAUUGGUGUUUUAAGCUUCUUACUUUGCGGUAACUAUGGCGGUGAUAGGAAACCACAGGAGACAAUGCAUCUACCAAGCAGGCCAAGGCGUUCUUACAGGGUCCUGGGGGCAGGUGCACAAGAGGGCCCAACUCCCCGGCAUGAGACCCACAGUGUAGACUGUGCCAGUCUGGCUGGCACGAACGUGGCUCCCCGGGUAGUGUUCCCUGCACGUCUGUCAGCCCUGCCCGCUCUCCAGCAGGCCCCGCUGCCUGGAAAGUCGCCACUGGUUCUCCCUCCUGUUGCUGGCCUCCUCCUCUCUGGCUCUCUGCUGACCCCGACCCCUUGCCAGAUCACACCAAGAGACUUGGGUUGGUGGUAGGGAGUUGGGGUGGGAUGGGGAGAAGUCACUGGAGUGAGUGGGGAGGCACUGGACUUAGGGCAGAGGGCCUGGGCACCACACCACUGGAGGGCAGGAGGCAGGCAGGACGGGGAGGCAGGGCCAGUCCACCUGUGGUGAGCUCCCUGGCGGGAUGGGAGCAGGGCAGCUGGAACGCCCCACCUUGAAGCUGGCAUGCGGGCAUCAGCCUCCUGCAAGCUCUGAGGCUUUGUGACACCAGGAAUUGUUCCAUCUUAUAGCUUAGGAGGCUGGGGCUCUGUGCCUCUGCCUUCAGCUGACGGAAAAGCCCAGGGCAGGCUCCCCAUGGAGCAGACCUAGGCCUGGACUGCUGUGUGCAGGGCCCCUCCCUGGAGCACCCACCUCCCACCUGCAUCCUGUACAGGAGGUGGGUCAGACUGUCGUCCCCCGCCACCCACCUGCCAUCCCAUGGGUGGGCUCACCAGUCGGCUCGUUCACCAGGGCCCUAGCUCUCAGGCCAGGCCGUGGCAGGCUCUGAGCCCAGAUGUGUCCGUCGGAUUAGCCACCUGGGAACUGAGGACCAGGACUGUGAAGCCAUCCUCUAGGUGGGCAGACCGGCCACCACAUCCUUUUUCAAUCUCCAUUUUAAUUUCUUCAUAGAAAUGAUGUGAGGACCGACUGGUGUAAAGUGAGACUAGUGUCUGCCACAUCAGAAGUCCUGCCAUAUUUGUUUUCAUUUUUUAUAUAAACCAGCAGAUUCUGGCUUAGCUCGCUUUGGGUUCUGUUACUUACAACCAAGAGAGCUUGGUGUCAGAAGUGGGACUGCAGGACACAGCCCCUUCCUGAGCAGUGGGGAGCUGGCAGGACUCUUGACACACUGUUUCCUUUUGGGCCUCCAGUCAUGGGCCUGAGAAGGCUGACUUCUCACCGUGAAUGUUUAGAGGAGGGCCAGGAGUGCGUGUGUCAGCCGCUCUCAGAGAAGCAGGUGCAGGACCACAGGUCAGGAAGGCUUCCGGUCCAGGGCCAGUAGCCUGCGACCCCACAGACUGUCCUGUGCCUCACUGAACCGUAGCAGCCAAAUUCCUUUCCUCAGCCUGUUUCUUAAGGUAAAAUGAACUGGGAAACUGUAAUCCAGGGAUUGGAAUGGAUCCUGAUUCCCUGGGCCCCUCCCAAGUGCCUUCUCUUCAGGGUACCAACCUCCUGUGAGCUCAGCCACUUGGCAGUCCAGGGUCAAACAGAGGACGGCUCAGCUUCCCUCUGUGUCCUGGGCUCUGAGCGGAGCCCUGAGCUAACUAAGCCUGACUAACAUGGUGACCCCCUGGCUCCCUCCAGAGAGAUGGGUACAGGCACAGCUUGAAGUUCAGGGCAGUGGCUCUCACCUGGGGGUGAUUCUGUCCCCUACCAGGAGACUCAUGGCAAUGUCUGGGGACGUUUUGUCACAAUGGAGGUGGGACAGCUACUAGCUUCUGUUGGGCUGAGACCAGGGAUGUGGCCCCCACCCCAUCAUCAUCUCCCCCCUCAGCCAUGUGCUUAGCACCUGCUCCAAUGAUAGACAGCUGGGUGCAGUCCGGCGCAUCUGAGUCCUUCACGUGGGAGGGAAGUGUGCGUGGGCCUCCCAGGGCAGCUCUGUGGACGCCGCAGUCUCUGCGUGGACCCUGCUGAGGCCUGCUGCUGGCCUCCUCCAGGCCGCGGUGGACUCCCGGCCACUGGCCUCACACAGCAUGGGCCUGGACUUGCCCUUCUGCUGCGGCGGCAGAGGGGCAGCUGGGCCAGGGCGUCGUGCCAGUGGAGCCCACGGCCCUGGCUGCCCUCUGUGGCAGGUAUGGCUGGGACCAUCCCCGCUCUAGCUCCAGGGGCUGUGCUCAGCCUGGGCCCCUCACUCCCAAGGCUGGGUCAUGGCACCCUAUCCGGACCCUUCCCAAGUAAGGAGUGGGAAGAAGGCUCAUUCUCCAGGAAAAGGCCCAGGCCCUGGGUGGCCGUGCAGGCCUUGUGGGGUGGCAGAGGUGCCGUGCAAAGAGAGCUCCGCCCAGGCCCUGGCCCUCAACGGGAGCCCGCCUCAGGCUGGGGCAGCCUCGGGGGAUGGCCCCACACAUCGGAAGUGACCUCUGACCUUGGCCGCCCGGAAUCUCACCCUCUUCAGCUGGGCAGAGGGUAGCUGCAUUCACACUGGCGCAGCCCAGGGGCUGCAAGUGGGGAACAAGAAGCUGUCCCGGGCUGUCACAGAGCCCUGCGCGCCCGCCCUGCCCAGAUGAAGACCUGCGUCGCUGUCUUUGCGGAAGGGAUUUAUUGUUCCGGAGCUGCAGCUGCUCACAGUUAUGACAGGGGUACACUGCAGGGGCUUGCCCAUUUCCGUGGCGCCUGCUGGAGUCCGCGUGUGUCCGAAGCACAAAAGGGGAAGGCAAGCAAGAGGCAGUUUGCUUCGUGUCCUCGAUCUCCGUGGAGAGCCCCUUCCCGCCUGUACCGCCUGGCGUUUGCUGUCCUAGGUGUUUGCUUUUGUUCUUAUGUAUAGAAAUCCCAGCCUGUGGCAGAGGUCUAAUGUUAACAGAAGCGUUAAAAUCUAUACACGAGGUGGGUGGGAGGCAGGGGCAGGCACCGAAGCAGACAGACGACUCCAUGGCAGAGGCAUGCAUCAGACCCGCCGUCCCCCACGGCCGCCGCACCCGGGCUGUGCCCGCCUGGGAGGGCUGGGCACAUGGGCGGAAGGGAACACAGAAGCUGGAGCUGGGGUGAAGCACGGCGGCGGGCACUGGGCAGGGUGGGCCUGCAGCCCUCUGAGGGCUGCGCCCUGGGCCUCGCUCUGCACAGAACGCCCUGCAGAGGAGCGCCACCGACUCUUUGUCCUUUUUUUUCAAUUUUUUCAUUUUAAUAAGAAAAGCCUCACAGUGCCCCUGCCGUCCUGUGUGUGGGGAGGGCCAGCUGAGGGCCCUCCUCCUACCCCUUCACCUUUGGACACAAAACCAAGAUUGCCCCAGCCUGACAGAGGGGCGCUGGCGCUGCCGCCCGCUACAAGACACCGCCCCUCUGCCCCGAGCCCCCCCAGAGGUGGAGCUGCUUCUCCACAGAGAGACGGAACCCAUGACAGAGCGAGCCGCACCGUCUUUAGAUGUGUGUGUAGAAAGAAGCAGGAGCAAGGGACUAAAACACAAAACCUGGCCCUGCCCCAGCGGCGCCCCCACCCCCACACCCUUUUCCAAAAACCACCAAGAAAAAAAAGUUUAUAAAAAUAUCUUGCAGGAAUUCUUUAAAGUUUACAGUAGCUCGCCAGCCCCCCCGCGCCCCACCAGCUCUGUCCUCAGAGGGCGCCCUGGCCCCAGCCCCCCCACUGCCUGAGACACGCAGACGGCAGGGGAUGUGGCCGCCGCCCUUCCCUGAACAGAGGUGCGGAGAAUCCAUAAAUUAAAACGGCAAAUAAAUAACACUGAUCCCAGCCCAGCGGCCUGGCCUGCUGGGAAGGCUCUGGUGCCGCAGGGUGUCUCUGUUUCCACCUCAGCCAGAGAGGAGCGCCAGAGCCCACAGCCGCCCCAGAUGAGGCAAGGGAGGCGCGGGUGAGACGAGAGGACGGGAGGCAGCCUGAGGAGGCCAAGACUACACGGAGGCGGCGCAGCCAGGGAGGCGGGGCACGGGCCUGCGAGGAGGCCUCCAGGUGCGGCGUGGAGGCGGUGGACGGGGCCUGUUCCUGUGGCUACGUUGCCCACCAGGGGUCCUGGCCCCAGAAGGCCACCAGGCAGGCUGUUCUUGCUGAGGGGUCAGGUGACCGGGAGUCCGGGUCGGCCGGGCUGGAGGAGGCUCCCCCGAGCCUGGCCUUCCUCCCACGGGCCGUGCGGAGCUGAGGCGAGGAGCUGCCGCGGGGUGGACGGGGCGCUGGGCUGGGCCUCACUGCCCGGCAGCAACAGCAGGAGCGGAGGGAGGGCGGGUCCGCAGCAGCUGCCUUCGGUCACAGAGGAUGGCCUCGUGGAGGUGACAUGUUAACUUUUCGGGAUAAUUCCUGGUAUCAGAGUGGAAACAAGCGAUGCUGUCAGAGACAGGCAGAGGCAGAGACAGAGAGAAAAGAGAGCGGGCGCGGGUGGCGCAGCCCACAGGCCGGCCCCAACGCCCCUUUCCUUUCCUCCCAGGCUCUGAGAACAGUCUGGACGGACGGGCGGCGCGGCCGCGGGUCCACUCGGGGCAGGGCGGGCGGCGGGCGGCGAGGCAGCCGCUGUCAGUGCUGUGCUGGGGGGGGGGGCUAGUGUGUCUAAGGCUGCUCGCGGCGGGCGGUGGGCGGGCCCAUCUUGGCCGUGUCCUUGCCCGUUGGGUACUCGGCGUCCCCUCCGGGGCCAGGGCCAGCGGCCGCGGAGUCACCGAGUGGGCCGUGGGCACUCCGCUUGGCGGGCGUGCUGGGGGCCUGGGCCGCCUGCCCGUUCUUCUCGUCUGAAAAAAGUUGUUUAAUUACGUCAAAGAAGUUACUCAAUGGGCUGCCUGGGUACACAGAACAGAGACAAAAAAAAAAAAAAAAAGGAAAAAAGAAAAAAAAGGGGGAGAGAAAGAGGAGGGGAGGGAAGGAGAGAGAAAGAGAACAAACAAACAAAUGAACGAAGAGGCCUCGACGAGGGAAAGAACCCAGAGAUGAGGCUGAGAUGGGGCCGAGCGGGGACCGGUGGGCGGCAAGCAGGGUGGGCAGGCGGCGGCCGGCAGGGGCCCUGUACGCUGGGGGCUGUGCGGUGGGGAAGCUGUGCGCCGUGGGGCCAGGAACUUAGGACCCCAGCGCCUCCGAGCUGUUGCGCAGGACCCAGUGCUCCUUUGGCGAAGCGAGGCUCGGGGCAGGUGGUGAGACCCCUCCCUCCCCACCAAGGCCUGGCCCGGAAGGCCCUGCCCCACCCCCCUUCCCUCCCCACCUUGCAGCCGUGAGGGCCGACCCACCCCAACGCCGGAGAUGACAGCGUAAAGACAAGGGCCUGCUGGGAGCUCUGAAGCCUCGCAGGACCCUGGGGGCAGCUGCUGGCCCCACUGCAUGAGGCCCAGUGGAUGACAGGGAGAGGGUGUGCCCACCACACCUCCCCAGAGAGGCCUGAAGCCCGACCCCUGGCCAGCUUGGACACAGUUUAGCAGCAGACAGACAGAUGAACAGAUGGGUGGACAAGCAUGGAGGGGUGGAUGUGGGAGGCAGGCUGGGGGGCUGGGGGCAAGCAGCUAGAGUCAUGUCCCGGGUCCCUGGGAUGGGGGCAGUCCUGAGAAGAGGGGCGGAAAUGGGGAGCCCACCCUUCUUGGGGCCCUGUGCUCACUGCCCAGGUGUGUCGAUGGAGGCCCCUCAAUCCCACUUCCUAAGCCUAACCCCCACCUGAGCCCUGAGCUGUGGGCCCCUCCGCUCCCUGCCAGGCACAGCCUCCAGUGGACAGAGGGAUGGGCACCGGCCCCUCCCCUAGGCCACAGCCUGCACCAGUGGGACCAGCGGGACCCUCACUGGCUUCAGGCCUUGGGAGCCCCUUCUUGGGCCUGCCCUGAUCCUAGGGCCUGGCAGAGGUGAGUCUGGCCAGGAACCCCGCCUGGGCUUGCUGUGGUAGGGGAGCGACCUGGGCUGCUCCUGGUAGAGGAUGGGGCCGGGGACAUCUGGGCUGCUGGGUGCCUACAUCUACACAGGGAGGCCGGGACAACCCGGGCGGCAGGUGGCGGCCACAGCGGGCUGAGGGUGAGCGGUGAAGUGGCAGGUGGAGGUGCCAGGUGAGCGUGGGGGAUUCUUACCACAUUUGGAAAGCCGCCCCGUCAUCAUUUCCAUACAGUUAGUGGUGUCUGGAGUACAGAAUGGAGAGAGGAGGGAGGGAGUGAGUGAAAGGCUGUCCUGGGCCUUCUGGCUGGACGCCCACAGCCUCGAUGGGGAGGGGGUGGAGCCAGGAGUGGGUAGGGCCCCAGAGGCAUGGGUGGGGAAUACUGGGGGGGCCAGAGCCAGAGGGGGCGGGGCUUAUAAGGGGCAGUGCAGGGGCAGGGCCUGGAGUGAGGCGGGGCUGCGGAGGCAGGGAACAAGGCGGAGCCACCUGGGCAGCAGCCGGACCUCCAGCAGCCUGAGCCUGAGCCUGGAUAUGGCCGGUGCCCUGGGUGGGCCUAGCCCCUCCCCUGGGCUGACAACUCUGCCCUGGCCGUGGCCUGCAUCCUCACUGUGCCACUCAGCAGCUCCAGGGCCCUGUGGCUUCCGGCUGCCCUUCAACUCAAGGCAGGCACCCUCUUCCUCGGCCCUCUUCCCUACUGCUGGGCCUGGGGAUGUUGGUGCUGCCAGUCCAGGACUGGGGUGGGAGCAAGGCCCUGGGAGGGGCUACUCCCUCAAGGCCCUCACUGGCGCCUGCACAGGGUGGACACACGCCCUGGUCUGCCUGUGCCUGCUCACUGGGGGCUCUCAGCCUCCCCUCCCUCGGCCGCAGUCUCUGGGGGGGUGGGCAGUGUCUGAGGAGGCCCCCUGCUGGCUAGCCACCUUCCACACAUCCUUGGAGCUGGGCUCACUGGACAAAAGCAUCCAGUGUGGGAGGGGGGCAGGGCUGGGAAGGGCUGGGCGUAGCGAGAUCACGGGGAUAGGCUGGGCUCCCCAAGUCCACAGGGAGAUAGAUGGGGCCCAGAAUAGACCCCCAAGAGCCUCUGCAGUGGGCUCCACUGAGGUCAGGGUCCGGGGCAGGAAUGGAGAGGGGCUUGGAGUUGGCUCCAGGGGAGUGCUGCGUGCUGACAGGCGGUACCACACUUUAAGGGGCCAGGCUGGGGGAGCUUUGCCUACAGCCCACGCAGGAGCGCUCGACUGAGGCACCCAGAUGGCUGCUCAGGUGCGGGGACACCCUGGGCAGUACCCCGGGGCCCGUUUCUGCUUGCCCUACCAGACAAGCCCUGUCCAUCCCUGGCCUAGGUGGCUGCCCUGUCGUUCCCUGGCCUCGGUUUCCCUUCCUAAGAUGAAGGCUUUCAAGGCUCAGAGAGCCAGAGGCUGCUGCCGGCCGACGGCAUGGCCUCCGCUGUAGGGAAGCGCCACGUGUACCUGCGGGGCCGAGCACCUGGAACCCUGCUCCUCCUUACCCGCUGUGCCAGCCUGGCUCCCAAAAUCAGGAGAAGGGGGCUACUCCUCCACCCACUGGGGCUUCGGUUAGGGCCAGGGCUGUUGGGGACCUCAGCCCCCAGCCCGCAGCAAGGUGAAGCACACUCUGGGGGGGCUCCCACAGGUGAUGGCAUGAUGAUGGAAUGAGGAUGUCAUGGGGAGGGGCAGUGGGGCCCUCUUUGGCUUCCAGGACCCCACAUGGAAACACAGGAGGUGACCCUAGCAUGCCACGGAGCUGCUGAGAUGCAGGCUGGGAGAGGGGACCCCCAGGGUCCAGCCGGGUGCUCCCCCACGACGCCCAGCGCCCCCACGCCGUACCAGCGUUCAGAGGCACACCCACACCCCCUUGCUGACAGACCAGGCCCAUGCAUGUGCCCAGUGCUCCGCCCUGCCCCCACCACACAUGGGCCCAGGGGAGUGGGGGGAGCCCUCCCUGCCGUAUGCCGAGUGGCACGGACCCUCGGGUCCUAGACCCUGGUGGUUCCAGGCUGGGGCAACCCUCCCCUGUGUGAGCCCAUCAGGCUGUGGUGAAGCCCCCGCUCUGGCUGGGCUCAAGCCCCUCUGCCCUGCUGGAGGCAUGACCCUGGGCUGUCAGGAAGUAUGGAGAGAUGAGAAGUCACAGCCCGUCAGGCAGCCCGCGGCCCUCCUAGGGUGCCAUGGCGGGGAGUCCCGAGGGCAGGGCCUUGUCACUGCUCUCCCAGGUCCUGUGCAGGCUGCCCUAGCAGAUGGGCCGCCCGGGGCAUGCUUGGCCUGUCCAGGGCCGAGACCUGUGGGUGGGCAUGGAGGGCCCUGCUCAGGGCCAGCCUGGCUCCGCCGAGGACCUGCCCGCAGCCCCUCCCCGCCCCAGCACAGGCCGGGCGCCUUACCUGCCAGCGUCAGAGGCUACUCUCGUAGCUGGUGGCCACCUUCUGGCCCUUAAGCCCAGCACCCCAGCUUAGUCCUGGCGCUGGUGGGGGGGGUUCUACGGUGGACAAGAGGCGCCUUUCAGUGUGGUGCGGCUGCGCCCUAUGUCCCUGGCGUGCAGAGGCGAGGCGGGUGGUCCCGCCAGGCCAGGGAGGGGCUCUGCUCCCUGAGGGGUGCAGCCACAGCUCGGGGCAGGGAGGUGGGGGCGUCCGUCAAGAGGGGCCAGGAGGCUGCGCCCGGGUCCUCACGCCUCCCGUCCGCGCAGCACCAGCUGGCCACGCCCCACUCGCAGGCCGCAGGUUGGCCGGAGCUGAGCCCGCCUCACCUGACAAGUGCUGGGCCGCAGGCGGGUCGUGUGUGCUCAGCAGCUGGGCCUGGAUGGUCUCCACCACCCUCUUGAAGCGACGGCUGGGGCCUAGGGGAGACAGGGGGUUAUGCCCUGGACGGGCCUGGGCCCGGAGCCGCCCUGGGGGCGCCAGCUCACCUGAGAGCAGGGUGAAGGUGACGGAGUAGAUGCCGUUCUCCUUCUGCGCCUCCCCACCCUCCGUGUAGGUGAUAUCAACCUGGAACUUGACCGGCUUCUGGAACACGGCUGGCCCCCCCGUGGCCUUGUACUCGGCCCGGAAGCUCGUUUGGGAGAUGACGCUGUGGCUGAGACUGGGAAUCUGUGGAGAGAGAGCAGCGUGAGCGUGGCUGGCCUGGCAGGUCCCACCCUGGCCCUCUGGGGAGGCAGCCCUGGGGCGAGCCAGCCCCACCGUGCACACAUUGUGAGCACCCAGGCACCUCUGCUUCCGUGAGGGGCACAGUGCGGUUGGAGACGGCUGGAGCAGGGGGAGGGGCGUUUCCAGCCCCCACCCUCCAAAGCUUUGGUCCACUUAGCGGGCACAGCUAAGCCCCUGCCGGGCUUUUCUCAGGCAGCCACAGCACAGGAUGACCAGGACCUUACAGAGGAGCCUUAAGGGCAAAGAUGGAGGUGGAAGGUGACCCCUGCAGCCUGAGGUGGGGGUCCAGGGUGGAGCUGAGUGGGAGGUGGGGGGUCUGGGAGCUGCCACUGAGAGGGAGGUGCAAGGGCGGGGCUGGGGCUGUGCCCUCCUGCUGGGGCUUCCUGGGACUCCCACUGGUUGCGGGACCUAUGGUGCUGGGCACUGGCUGGGUGGGCUUCACAGUACCGAGGGGGCAGCUGCAGGAAGCAGAACUCAGGGCCACCCAGCGCACAGGGCCCAGGCUGGCACACAGCCGCCUCACUGGGGCCGGCAUGGGGAGGGGCUGAGUCUGAGGUUAGCCGUGGCAACCAGGGGCAGCAUGAAGGGAUGUGGUGAGGGAGGAGGCCGAGGAAGUGAGCAGCCUGUGGGGACGGGGACGGGGACGCUGAGGACCCCUGAGGCCAGGGUCCAAGUGCAGUCUGAGGCCUGCCCUGCCCAGCGCUGGGCUCUCCUGGCCCUGGAGCCUUCUGCAGGGGCUCCAAGCUGUCCCCACAGCGUAAGGGAAGCUCAGCUGCAGCCAGGGCAGCAGUGGCCUGAGUGCCCGGGGGCAGAGCAUAUGGUGGGGUGGGGGCCAGUCCCUAGCUAGAGAGGCUGCCGAAGCGAACCACGGCCUGAUCUUGCCAAGACCCUGGGGCCAGGGAGGGCGCCCGGGCAGUGGUGAGCACAGGGCAGGACAGCAGCCCUGGGGAGGCAGGCUGGGGGCGGUGGGGGAGGCGGGUGGGGGGCAGCCCCUGUGAUGCCUGGGCGCUGGGUGCAGCACAGGGUGGGGCAGGGCCGGCAAGGAAGGGGCGUCCUGAUGGGACUGGGUGCUGGAGUCCUGGCAAUAAACUUUCUCCAUUUGAGGCUUUUAGGGCCUUUCUGCUCCUCCUAACCCAAAGAUGCCCAGCAAAGACAAAUGAAGCCCACCCAAGACCCCGAGCGCGACCACUCUGUGGAGAGCCACCCGGCCUCCGAGGGCAGGGCCAAGCACCCCAGAUGGGCAGUGACCCCUCCCUCACGAGGGUGGGCAGGAGAGAGCGCCUGUCCAGUGAAGGCGGCCAGGCAGGCCCACGGGAAGGCGUGCACGAUGUCAGCCUUGAUGGAGCUCAGAGGUUUGUCUUUGAUGACCACGAAGAUCUGCUCCUCCUUCUCCAGGCUGAUGAAGUUCCCAAACCAGGACUUCUUCGCCAGCCUGGGCAGUGGGAGACAGAGGCUGUGAGGAUUGAGGUGUGGCACCGUCCACACCCCUGCCUCCCUCGAAUCUGGGGUUGGAACGGCGGAAUCUUCCAUCGCUUCGUGAUAGAAACGGCUGUCUCCACAGUGCUAGCCAGAACCCAUGGCCCUGACCCCAACGCCCUAACCCUAGCCCAUAUGCCCUGACCAUCACCGUGGCUCUAACCCCAACCCCAACCCUAACCUUUCUCCAAGCCCUAACGCCCUGACCCUGGCCCAUAUGCCACCCACUCCCAAGUCUGGGGAUGCCCCUCCACAGGUGAGCCCCCCACAGGUGAGCCCCCCCUCACCAAGGCCGCUGUGAGAGGUGGCUCAAGCUGGGCUCCUGAAGUCAGCUGUGCCCCCCACCCCCAGGAGCAGGCGGGGCCUGCAACUCGCUUCCAACAGGAGAGUGGGGAGGCGCUUCUGAGGCCACAGAAGGCUACUCCUGUCUUGCUGGCAGGCUCACCCCAACAUGCAGAGGCCCUCUGCUCUCCAGCUCAAGAGCACCCGAACCCCACCCACCAGCGCGGGGGCCAGGAAGCCCAGCCGUGAGAGGACCAUGGCCAGAGGCGCCUCUAGCACAGCCCGAGACUCAGGCAGAGCGCGCCUGGGUGGCUGUUCAGAGGUGGCACGCUCUGCUGGCGUCCCCUGCCGUUGCUGCCUGGAGGUGGAACCAGGUGUGCUGAGAGGCAGAGGCAGGGACCGGGAGGAGGGGCCAGCAGGGCUGGGGCUCAGUGGUGCCCUCUCCCGACUGAUUCUGAGGCCCCUCCCAGCGGCCUCACAACUCCCCUUUCCCUUGCCCAUUCCUGGAGCUGCCUCCUCGGCCACUGUGCGGCCUGGGAGUCCUGCCGGACAAGCACGGGGACCAGGUCCAACCCUCACUCAGCCCCUCGACGCCUCCUCAGUGUCCUGCCGGUCUCGGCGGCUGUCUGUUCUGGGUUCAAAAC